rnacentral:rRNA from 1 species
AUUGAACGCUGGCGGCAUGCCUUACACAUGCAAGUCGAACGGCAGCACGGGUGCUUGCACCUGGUGGCGAGUGGCGAACGGGUGAGUAAUACAUCGGAACAUGUCCUGUAGUGGGGGAUAGCCCGGCGAAAGCCGGAUUAAUACCGCAUACGAUCUACGGAUGAAAGCGGGGGACCUUCGGGCCUCGCGCUAUAGGGUUGGCCGAUAGCUGAUUAGCUAGUUGGUGGGGUAAAGGCCUACCAAGGCGACGAUCAGUAGCUGGUCUGAGAGGACGACCAGCCACACUGGGACUGAGACACGGCCCAGACUCCUACGGGAGGCAGCAGUGGGGAAUUUUGGACAAUGGGCGAAAGCCUGAUCCAGCAAUGCCGCGUGUGUGAAGAAGGCCUUCGGGUUGUAAAGCACUUUUGUCCGGUAAGAAAUCCUUGGCUCUAAUACAGUCGGGGGAUGACGGUACCGGAAGAAUAAGCACCGGCUAACUACGUG